AUGAUAUGAGUUAGUUAACUUACUAAGAUAAAAAGAGACUACAUUCAUAUUAUGUUAUACCAGGCUGAGCUGUAAACUGUUGACAUUUUUAAUCUGAGAAGAUCAAACUGUCGACUACUGCACGAGUAAAGCUGCAAGCCAAUAUCUGUCUAAGGAACCAAUACACUUUCCAAUAACGUAAUGCACUUUCUCAUUUUGACCACAGAGGGCGUAGUUUCCUCCAGAGCCAUUUCGCACUAGCAGGAAACAAAAAUGUCGGAAAUGCGUAGGAUUUGGCGUUUGACUUCGUGCUUACUUUCUCCAGAGAUGUUCGUGACGAGAAGACGUCUACUUGGAUUUAAGCCCGGGACCUUCGAGUGCCGUGUCUGCAAAAGUCCACUGAUUUCCAUUGAAAAAGCUGAACCACAGCAGUGCGACUGCAGCAGCAGGAACACUCCAUUACUGCGUCUUAACAAUUUGCAUGAGCAGGCAGUAUGCCCUGCUGUAAUCCACUUCCCCAGAGUGGUGUGGAAAGUCUCAUGAACAGACAGAAUUUGAAACUGACUCCCUGGGACCUCCCUCCUCCAACCUCACCUGAACCCUGGGUGGAUGAUUCCAGCAAGGAGCGGAAGAAGAAAUUCAAAUUGACUGGGAUCAUAAGAAAUGUAGGGACAAUCCACCUGAGUCAUGUGGACCUGGAUGGUAUCGACUGGACAGCAGCCGGUGUGUGAUGGUUUCCCUAAACAGGGCCACUUUUGAUGAAGCAGAGGUAAUUUGCCAGAAUAAAGGUGGAAAUCACUUGUCCAUCGCCGAUGAAGCACCUCUGGCCACAUUAGCAUGCAUCCUACACUUAGAGGUUUCCACUUUUAAUCUACACUGGGUUGGAACAAAAAGAAGAGAGCACGGUUCUCCAGAGUUUCAGCAGACUGAUGGAAGUGGAAAGUUUGAGUUACCAUUUCGUGACACAGAUAAACGCUAUGACUGUAUGGAAAUUAGAGGACAAUAAGAGCAAAGUCAUGGCUGGACUAACACUGAGCCUCCUGAGCUUCCAUCCUGUUGUUUCUCCAGUCUGGUGGUUCAGCACAACACAAGAUGAAGUGUCCAAUGAGACAUAAGAAUGAGCUGACUGUUGCCGUGGAUGUUGGGCGUGACGAGGGUGGACAAGCCUGGAAGCGAGCAGAUCUGGGGAAAAGACUGUGAUUAAAGGUGAAGGCUAACGACCGUUUCAAAGAAUUGAUGGGAUAUUGGCUUCAUGUAAAGCCAUGCAUGUUGAUUGGUUGCUUAUUCUUGAUGGCGGCAGUGACCUUUGGAGUCAAUCACAGAAGAAUAUGGGGAGACCCUACAUGAUGCCUUGGGAUGUAUUGACUCUUUUCAGCAGAUGGUGUCCAUGUCGAAGCAGAGCGUGAUGAGGUGAACCCUGUCAGAAACAUCGGAAAGGUCGGCAAGAUAAGGAUGAAGGAGGGUUUCCUGUCACGGGAAAGAAUGGUAGUACAACAGAGUGGCCAUUUCUGAAGCACAUGACGUUGUGGAUCGACACUGAGGUGAAUGAGGAGGAGACUCGGAUAAAGGAAUCUUGGAAUCAAAAUAACACACAUAUCAAGCCUGGCUCGUGACUGCACAGCUACGGCAGGACGUGUAGAUCAACUCUGCAAAACGAAAUUCAAGUGUUUCCCAAACGAACCCCUGUCUGAACACAGUAAACUCAUCACACAAGUGCUUCCACUCACCGAUGCAGAUGAGACUCACAAUCAGGAGUGAGGGUGAGGGAACAAAUGGAAAUUAAUUUAAUACCUCCUGCAGGAAAACCAGCAAUCCUACCACUGCAUCACUCCAGGUACUGUAAUCUCUCCUGUGAAAUUAAAGAUAUCUGUAACUAUUAAUGAUCUUUGGACAGUUUUAUCUAGAUUUAGCAACAAUUAAGGUUAAUUUGGUUAUAUUUUUGGUAUCUUCUCACUAUUCACUUUUGUCAGAAACCUCUGCUAAAUGUGCAUGACUUUUGAACUUUUGUCAAUAAAAUUCAAAAGAACCAGCAGAAAGUCUACGUACAAAAAUCUAAAUACUGUAUUAUAUGCCAUUGUAAUUUUUAAUCGGCUGGUUUGGUAAAGGUUUUUACCCGGAUGAAUAUAUGUCACAUGAUAAUCCACAUCUCAACCACUUGUAGCCAGUUUUCUGGUAUUUAAUUUUUAAUUAGCAACUUUGCUCGCCACCAGAAGUCCCAGCUGCUUCUGCGUCAUAAUGGGCGACACCAGCUGUCCUCUGAGCAUCGAACACGACUCUGUCUUAUACACAUAGAUCUAACAAAUGGCUUUAUGGGCCAUUCAGGCUUGAACAGGACACAAAUUAUUCACGAUGCUAAUGAAGACUGAAGUCAUGUUUGAUAAUUUCAAAACUUUGGCUAAAUCCAGUGACAUUG